GACGAACGCUGGCGGCGUGCCUAAUACAUGCAAGUUGAGCGAUGAAGAUUGGUGCUUGCACCAAUUUGAAGAGCAGCGAACGGGUGAGUAACGCGUGGGGAAUCUGCCUUUGAGCGGGGGACAACAUUUGGAAACGAAUGCUAAUACCGCAUAACAACUUUAAACAUAAGUUUUAAGUUUGAAAGAUGCAAUUGCAUCACUCAAAGAUGAUCCCGCGUUGUAUUAGCUAGUUGGUUAGGUAAAGGCUCACCAAGGCGAUGAUACAUAGCCGACCUGAGAGGGUGAUCGGCCACAUUGGGACUGAGACACGGCCCAAACUCCUACGGGAGGCAGCAGUAGGGAAUCUUCGGCAAUGGACGAAAGUCUGACCGAGCAACGCCGCGUGAGUGAAGAAGGUUUUCGGAUCGUAAAACUCUGUUGGUAGAGAAGAACGUUGGUGAGAGUGGAAAGCUCAUCAAGUGACGGUAACUACCCAGAAAGGGACGGCUAACUACGUG
rnacentral:rRNA from 1 species